AGUCCUCCCCUAUUCUGAACUUAUUUAUGAGUUCAAGUGGCCAUCUGAUUAACUCUGUCUUCUCCCAUCAGACCACAGCCUCCAUUACGGUUCGGACCUGCAGGAGGUUUCCUCUUCAUUGAAACGCAGUGGCCAUCUGAUAAAUAUUUAUUACAUGGAUAGGUGCGAUUGGUAUAAGACAUUACUACAUGGCUACAAACUGGGGAGAAUGUCAGAGACGGGAGCCUAUCAUGACUGUCUUCUGAGAGGUUUCAUCCAGCAGCUGAUGAUAACAGAUGCAAACACUCAGAGCCAAACAAUAGGCUGAACUCUGGGAGGUUUGGAGAAGAGUGGAAGGAAGGAUUGAGAGAGCCAGAGGGUCAAGGACACCACAAGAAGACCUACAGAGUAAACUAACCUGGGCCCAUGGAGGCUCACAGAGACUGAACCACCAACCGAAGAGCUGGCAUGGGCUGGACCUAGGCCCCUACACAUAUGUAGUAGAUGUGCCACUUGGUCAUCAUGUGGGUCCCCUAAUCAUUGGAGCAGGGGCUGUCUCUGACUCUGUUGCUGCCUUUGGAUCCGUUUCUCCUAGCUGGGCAGCCUUGUCUGGCCUCAGCAGGAGAGGAUGUGCUUAGACCUGCUGCAGCUUGAGGUCCCAGGGUGGGUUGGAACCCCUUGGGGUCUCCCCUUCUCUGAGAAAAAGGAGAUGGGAGGAUAGGGGAAGGGGGUUGUGAGGGUGGGCCUGGGAGGAGAGGAGGGAACGGGCUGAAUCGGGUUGUGGAGUGAUUAAAUA